UAGGAAAUAUUUCACGGAACACAGGUUGCAAGAGCACUUAUCCGUCGCGAAAUACAAGCAUUGGCAGAAAUAUCGGGACAUACGGCUAUGGAAAUAGAUACGUGUUUUAUCGUACUAUGCGGGAAAAUCAAGGAGAAGAAGUGAUGACGCUCCGAGACAAUAGAUGGAAACGCAAGAUUGCUGAAAACGGUAGGAACAAGAAUAAGACGUUGGAGAGAGAGAGAGAGAGAGAGAGAGAAGGAGAGAAGCAAAGAAAGGAGAGAAGCAAGUGGAAAAAUGAAGGGACGGAACAAAGAAUAUACGGGAAAGAAAAGAAAUCGGGAAAUGUCUAAAGACAAGCGUGACUUUAGGUAGAGAAAAAAGGAAUGAGGUGGAAGUAUAAGUUCAAUGAAGAGAAAAA